GGGGAAACGGUUAGCAUGCUUCCUGAUGUUAGCGGCGGACGGGUGAGUAACACGUGGGUAACCUGCCUGUAAGACUGGGAUAACUCCGGGAAACCGGGGCUAAUACCGGAUGCUUGUUUGAACCGCAUGGUUCAAACAUAAAAGGUGGCUUCGGCUACCACUUACAGAUGGACCCGCGGCGCAUUAGCUAGUUGGUGAGGUAAUGGCUCACCAAGGCAACGAUGCGUAGCCGACCUGAGAGGGUGAUCGGCCACACUGGGACUGAGACACGGCCCAGACUCCUACGGGAGGCAGCAGUAGGGAAUCUUCCGCAAUGGACGAAAGUCUGACGGAGCAACGCCGCGUGAGUGAUGAAGGUUUUCGGAUCGUAAAGCUCUGUUGUUAGGGAAGAACAAGUACCGUUCGAAUAGGGCGGUACCUUGACGGUACCUAACCAGAAAGCCACGGCUAACUACGUGCCAGCAGCCGCGGUAAUACGUAGGUGGCAAGCGUUGUCCGGAAUUAUUGGGCGUAAAGGGCUCGCAGGCGGUUCCUUAAGUCUGAUGUGAAAGCCCCCGGCUCAACCGGGGAGGGUCAUUGGAAACUGGGGAACUUGAGUGCAGAAGAGGAGAGUGGAAUUCCACGUGUAGCGGUGAAAUGCGUAGAGAUGUGGAGGAACACCAGUGGCGAAGGCGACUCUCUGGUCUGUAACUGACGCUGAGGAGCGAAAGCGUGGGGAGCGAACAGGAUUAGAUACCCUGGUAGUCCACGCCGUAAACGAUGAGUGCUAAGUGUUAGGGGGUUUCCGCCCUUAGUGCUGCAGCUAACGCAUUAAGCACUCCGCCUGGGGAGUACGGUCGCAAGACUGAAACUCAAAGGAAUUGACGGGGGCCCGCACAAGCGGUGGAGCAUGUGGUUUAAUUCGAAGCAACGCGAAGAACCUUACCAGGUCUUGACAUCCUCUGACAAUCCUAGAGAUAGGACGUCCCUCUUUCGGGGGCAGAGUGACAGUGUGCAUGAUGUCGUCAGCUCGUGUCGUGAGAUGUUGGGUUAAGUCCCGCACGAGCGCAACCCUUGAUCUUAGUUGCCAGCAUUCAGUUGGGCACUCUAAAGUGACUGCCGUGACAACCGGAGAAGGUGGGAUGACGUCAAUCAUCAUGCCUCUUAUGACUGGGCCUAACACACGUGCUAACAUUGGACUGACAGUCAGCGUACGCGAAGUAGGCAAUUCCAACAAAACCUGGUU
rnacentral:rRNA from 1 species